UCCGCUUUCUGUUUUUUCAUAGAUUUUUUCUUAUUUUCAGUAGAUUUUUUCUUAGAAGAAGUCUGCUCCACAGUAAGUAUAGAACCCCUUAAACUCUUCAAGUAUUCUCUGUUGUAACCAGUAUAUUGACCAACUCGUAAAUGGUGCACUAAAUUUAUUCAUAUGGAAGUUUACAAUAAACUGUCCAUAUGAAUUAGUCAAGGACUGCAGGAUCAGAUCAACCUGCAAGUCCUUAUCCAUAGACAAUUUGAGCUUCUCAAGCUCCUCGAGGUCCUUGAUCAUUAUCAGACAAUGAUCAUGGACUAACUGCCCAUCACGCAUCUUUGUUUUGAAUAGUUGCUUGGAUACUUCGAAGUGGGCUGCAUGGCUCUGCUUACUAUACAACUCUUGUAGGUAAGUCAGCAUCUGUCAGGCAGUAGUCAGGUCUUUGUGUUGACAUUGCAAUUCGUUAGACAUUGACGCCAGCACAUAGCACCUAACUUUGUUGUCAUUAUCCAACCACUUCUCAUGAGAUGCUCUUUGAUCAGUGGUAGGACAGGCUGGAAGAGGGAGAAGGUCCUGGUCAAAGACAUAGGCCAAUUUCUCAGAACUCAAAAUAAUUUUUAAGUUUUGGAGCCAAUCCUUAAAAUUUGGUCUGAUCAACCUAUUGGUUUCUAGUAUUCUAGCUAGGAGAUUUGAAAUAGAUAUUGUUCCUGCAGAGAGUCAAAAUUUUUAGUUAGAUUUUGUAAUUGAUUUAACCAAUUUAUUUUAAAGAUUUUAUUUUUAAAAUAAAAUAGGGCUCCCACUAUUUUUUUGAUUCUCCUCACUUCUUUAGAAGAUAAGCGAAGACAUCCACGAUUAAGAGUCUUAAGUGGGUGCUGCAGUCUCACCAAUUGACUCACCACCUCCUCUAACAGUUAUUGAUAUUGGGUCAAUUGACAAGUAGACAACUCUUAUCCAGUAUUUCUCCAAACACGUUGCAGCCAACUUCAGUCUCUAAUUCAUAAGCCUCAUCGUAUCUGAAAUAUUGGCCCACUACUUAGUUAAGUCAGAACCACCAUUUACG
rnacentral:lncRNA from 1 species